UACGAAGGGGGCUAGCGUUGUUCGGAUUUACUGGGCGUAAAGCGCACGUAGGCGGGUCUUUAAGUCAGGGGUGAAAUCCUGGAGCUCAACUCCAGAACUGCCUUUGAUACUGAAGAUCUUGGAGUUCGGGGAGAGGUGAGUGGAACUGCGAGUGUAGGAGGUGAAAUUCGUAGAUAUUCGCAAGAACACCAGUGGCGAAGGCGGCUCACUGGCCCGAUACUGACGCUGAGGCACGAAAGCGUGGGGGAGCAAACAGG
rnacentral:rRNA from 1 species